GCUGAGCAUCUGUAACUGCAUCAGCCAUGACUCUAGAAUAUUCAUUGUUGACAUCACUGUGUUCCAAGCUAUAUGUUGCCUCAACUGACUAGAACCCUGGCAGUUGCUUCCAGUCAACUCUUGAGUGGAGCAACUCCUCUUGUGGCUCUUAGAGCAGUGAGGUCCCACUGCCUUUAUCCCAGUUGAUAGUAUUGAGUGUGUCUUCAACUCGAUAUUAUUGAGCUGGUGUUUUUGAGCUCGUGUUACCUAGUAGCUGAUAUUAUUGAGUUUAUAUUUAACGUGAUAGUAUUUGGCUUUGGAAAAUCCAGAUUUGGCUGUUGUAAGGUUUGUCUGGGAGAAACUACCAGUGGAGGAGACUUUGAAUGGUCCUUGGCAAGGCCAUUCAGUAUGUUUCAGUUCAAGGAGUCAACUGCAUCAUCGAUUCUUAUCCAUUAAAACAGGUUUCCAUCUGGAAAGCAGAGUGGCAGUAGUGGUGACAGUGGGAGUGGUGAUCGUCGUGGCGGUGGCAGCAGCAGUGGCCAAGGAAACAUUCUUUCAGGAAGAAGGGAGUGAUGAUCUCUACAACUGCCAUUUCCAUAGUUCUUGUAUUCUUUGACAUAAGAUGUGGUGCUUGAGGGCCAACACCCAGAUUACACCUUUGUCACAUGUCAACUGAGCUAUUAGGCAUGUGAGGCCUAACACCUCAACCAAUGACUUCCCUUUGGCUUGGCCACUGCAGGAAGCUCAAAGCUUUCCCAGUGCUUUUUUUUUUUUUACUGGAUGUUAAGAUAGCACAGCAGCUUAGUGAUUCCAGCCAUGAAAGCCUUUGACAACAUGUCUUCUAUAUUGUUUUAUUGUCUGUAACCAAAUUCUCUUUAUCCUUUAUUGCUGUAAUUAAUUAAUUUUCCUUCUUUUCCUAACCAUUUGCCUAUUUUGUUAGCUGUUUCAGAAGUUCUCAAAUUCAUUAUUUUCAGUUUCUUAUCUACUUCUGAAGUUGUUAACAUUGAAAUUUGUGUCUCUAGGAUUUUUAUUUUUUAUGCAAUUUUUGGAUUGUUUGGAUUUUUUCAAUUCUGCUUGCUUUUGUAUAUCUUUUGUGAUCUACUGAAGUUCUUUCUUUGUCUUUUUAUUUCUACUUUCUGUUGAAUAAAGAUGUCCCUCAGUACUGUUUUGCUUGCAUCUCACAUUAUUUUAAUUUCUAUUCAGUUGUUCAAAUUAUCUUCAAAGUAUUCUUUAAGCAUUUUGCUAGUUUUUCCCACUAUGUUUUCACUCCAGAAUAGUGUUUCAUCUAACCUCCAGUUCAUUUCAUUUCUUUUUCCUUUCAGUUGUAAUGUGAUUGGAUUAUGGUCAGAAGAAAUUAUGUGUAUCUUUAAUUCUUGUAGAUAAUGUUUUUGAGACUAUGUAUGUGCCU